rnacentral:rRNA from 1 species
GAUGAACGCUGGCGGCGUGCUUAACACAUGCAAGUCGAACGAUGAAGCCCAGCUUGCUGGGUGGAUUAGUGGCGAACGGGUGAGUAACACGUGAGUAACCUGCCCUUGACUCUGGGAUAAGCGCUGGAAACGGCGUCUAAUACCGGAUACGAGCUUCCACCGCAUGGUGAGUUGCUGGAAAGAAUUUCGGUCAAGGAUGGACUCGCGGCCUAUCAGGUAGUUGGUGAGGUAACGGCUCACCAAGGCGACGACGGGUAGCCGGCCUGAGAGGGUGACCGGCCACACUGGGACUGAGACACGGCCCAGACUCCUACGGGAGGCAGCAGUGGGGAAUAUUGCACAAUGGGCGGAAGCCUGAUGCAGCAACGCCGCGUGAGGGACGAAGGCCUUCGGGUCGUAAACCUCUUUUAGCAGGGAAGAAGCGAAAGUGACGGUACCUGCAGAAAAAGCACCGGCUAACUACGUG